CGUCUGAGGUGCAGGGGGGCUUCAGAACAUUCGACCUGCAAAGCGUUAAUAGGGCUCGAACGCAUAGCCCCAGCAAUUAUUCUCAGAGCCUUAGACUGGAUAAUGUCUAACUUAUGGAGAGCUACUGCAUUACAGGGUUCAAAACCGAAAGGUUGACAUUAUCAUAGGCUGCAGACACAUCUAAGAAUGCUGCUAACACAGACUUAUUGUAUGAAAAUGCCAAUCUUAUGUCUGUCAUAAAAAUGCUGAGACUAUCCAUCGUACUCCUACCUUUCCUAAAUCCAAACUGGUUAGGAGAUAGUAACCCUUUACUCUCAAUAAACCAUUCUAGUCUAUUUUUAACUAGAUGUUCGCAAAUUUUGGAAAUCACUGAAGCUAAUGCAAUUGGUCUGUAUGAUGAUGGAUCAUUAAUGGGUUUGUUGGGCUUAUGUAUUGGGAUAAUUUCAUGGAUUUUCCAUGAUGGAGGAAUAUUACCUGAUGUUAAGAUUGAAUUAAUUAAACUGAGAAAAUAAGAAAGGCAGGAGUCGUUCAGGUUUUGAAGAAAAGAAUAUGGAAUUCCAUCACAACCCGGGGCUGAGUCCCUAAGCCUUGAAAGAACCCCUUUGAGUUCUGAAAGGCUAAAGGAAAUGAAUGAAUCGCUACUAUCAUGCUGGGAGAGGAGAGAAGGCUGUGAGUCAGAAGAAAUAUUAUCUAUAGAUGGGACAAAUGGUGGAGCUAAUUUGUCAAGAAACAAAUCAACUGUACUACUAUCCAUGAAAGGAGACCUUGGAGGUUUGAAAGCAGAUCUGAAUCUACGAAUAUUUUGCCAAACUUGAGAUGGAGAAAUUUCUGGUGAAAUUGAGGCACAAAAAGAUUUCCAGCUAUUGAAUCUUUUUUGUUUUAAUAAUUUACGAGUUUUAGUUAUAAGAUUACUAAGAAUAUUAAAAUUUUGUGUUGUAGAA